UACAGAGGCCUCAAGCGUUAGGCGGAAUCACUGGGCUUAAAGCGUGUGUAGGCGGACUUCUAAGUACCUUGUGAAAAUCCCAACGGCUUUAACUGUGGAACUGGCUUGGUAUACUGGUCGUCUUGAGCCACUUAGGGGCUACCGGACAGAUGGUGGAGCGGUGAAAUGCGUAGAUAUCAUCUGGAACGCCAAUGGUGAAAACAGGUAGCUGGGGAGUGUGCUGACGCUGAGACACGAAAGCCAGGGGAGCGAAACGGG
rnacentral:rRNA from 1 species